rnacentral:lncRNA from 1 species
CAUAUCACGUCAUACCACAUUACCUUUUAAAAGUGCCCACAGUCAAGAUUAAGUCCUCUAUGGGUGCACCACGGAUUCUAAGACAAACUACUCCUGAACUUCUGAAUAUUGCACUAUAUAUACUGGAUACAUAUAACUUGGUGUAGCUCUAGUCAUAUAUGUAUUAAGAAAUUAUAAAAUCAACCAAUAAGACAUUUUAGAAUCAACCGAAUUUCUAUUUCACAAUAAUGGAACAUAAUUUUCAAAGAAUACAUAAGAUGAGUGUAUACCAAGUUACAUCAACAGCGCUCUUUCUAAUGGUAGUGGUCAUUACUAUGAAUCCUACAUCCGCAACCAGUACAACAAUCACUGAUGCAUCGACAAAAACUGAUGAACCCACUACAACCGUAACUGAUGCAUCGACUACAACUGGUGAACCCACUACAACCGUAACUGAUGCAUCGACUACAACUGGUGAACCCACUACAACCGUAACUGAUGCAUCGACUACAACUGGUGAACCUACUACAACCAUCACUGAGUCAUCAACAACAACUGGUGAACCCACUACAACCAUCACUGAGUCAUCAAAAACAACUGGUGAACCAAAUACAACAUUCAUUGACGCAUCGACAACAACUGGUGAACCGCUACAACCGUCACUAAUUCACCACCAACAACUGGUGAACCAACUAAAACCACCACUAAAUCAACAAAAUCAACUGGUGAACCAACUAAAACCACCACUAAAUCAACAAAAACAACUGGUGAACCAACUAAAACCACCACUAAAUCAACAAAAACAACUGCUGAACCAACUAAAACCACCACUAAAUCAACAAAAACAACUGCUGAACCAACUAAAACCACCACUACAUCAACAAAAACAACUGGUGAACCAACUAAAACCACCACUAAAUCAACAAAAACAACUGCUGAACCAACUAAAACCACCACUACAUCAACAAAAACAACUGGAGAACCAUCUAAAACCUCCACUGAGUCAACGACAACAAUUGGUGAACCCAUUAAAAUCGUUUUUGGGUCAUCAACAACAACUGAUGAACCCACUACCACCAUCACUGGUUCAUCCAGAACAACUGAUGAAAACACUGCAACCGACAAUGAUGCAUCGACAGAAACUGGUGAACCCAAUACAACCAUCAAUGAUUCAACAAAAACAACUAGUGAACCCACUACAACCAUUACUGAUUCAUCAACAACUGGUGAACCCAAUACAACAACUACCAGUGAAACUGCUACAACCAUCACUGGUGUUGUCGAUAACAACGGAUGCAGCUGCAACAGUCAUUGAUUCAUCAACAAUAACAGGUGAACUCACUCCAACCAUCGUUGAUGCAUCGAUAGUAACUAGUGAACCCACUGCAACCAUCACUGAUUCAUCAACAACAACUGGGGAACCAAAUACAUCCAUCACUGAGUCAUCAAAAGAAACUAGGCAACGCACUAUAACAUUAAGUGGAUCAUCGACAACAACUGGUGAACACACUACAAGAGUCCCUGCUGCGUCGACCACAACUGGGGAACCCACUACAAUCGACAUUGAUGCAUCAACAACUACUAGUGAAAACACAACAAUGGUCAGUGCUGAAUCGAAAACAACUGGUGAACCCACUACAACCAUGACUGGUGUGUCAACAAUAACGGUUACAGUUUCACCCACUACAAACAUCACUGGUAGAUUGACAUCAACAGUUACAGCUGCACCCACUACAACUGUCAUUGGAGCAUCAAUAACAACUGGUGAACUUACUUCAACUGUUAUUGGUGUGUUGACAACAACUGGUGAACCCACUACAACAGUCACUCGUGGGUCGACAACAACUAGUGGACCCACUACAACCAUAACUGAUUCAUCAACUACAGCUGGUGAACUCACUACAUCCAUCACUGAGUCAACAAAAACAACUGGUGAACCCACUAUGACCGUCACUGGUGUGUUGACAACAACUGGUGAACGCACUACAAUAUUCACUGGUGUGUCGUCAACGAGUGGUGCAUCAACAACUACUGGUACAGCUGCACCCACUACAACCGUCACUAGUGCAUCAAAUGCCACCACAACUACAAUAGCUACUCCUGUCAUCACUACUGCCAUCAUCACAGCCACAACAACUGCAACUACCGCUGUUGCAAUCAUUAGGUUGCCUGUGGUGUUCCGGUCCAGAGGAGAGACAUUUACCUCUGAUCUAUCAAACCCAUCAUCUCAGGCCUUUCAAACCCGAGCAUUACUGAUUAAAACUCAGGUUGAACCUUUCUAUCAAUCAGCUUUCACGUCUUUCAACAGUUUGACUGUGACAGAAUUCAGCUCUGGAUCCAUCAUCAAUACUGUAAAUGUAGCAUUCAGCUCCCCCUCUGUCCCUAAUAUCACGGAGAUUGGCACUGUUUUGAUAAAUGCUGCCCAAAACAUCACAGCUUUCAACAUUGACCCCUCCUCAGUGACAGUCAACAGCACAGCUGCAGCCACAAAAAUACUUACCAGUGCAAUAACAACGAGUGGCUUAUCGACAAGAACUGGUGAACCCACUACAACCGUCACCAGUGUGUCGACAAUGAGUGGUGCAUCAACAACUGCUGUUACAGCUGAACCCACUACAACUGUCAAUGAUGCACCGACAACAACUGGUGAACCCAAUACAACCAUAACUGAUACAUCAACAACAACAACUGGUGAACCCACUGAAACCGUCACUGGUUCAUUGAAACUAACUGGUGAAUUCACUACAACCGUCACUGGUGUGUCGACAACAACUGACAAACCAACUACAACCAUCACUGGUGUGUCGAUAAAGUUUACAGCUGCACCCACUACAAACGUCACUGGAGCAUCAACAACAACUGGUGAACUUACUUCAGCCGUUGUUGGUGUGUCGACAACAAGUUACGAAUCAACAACUACUGUUACUGCAGCACCCACUAUAACCGUCACGGGUGUGUUGACAACAACAGGUGAACCCAAUAUAAACGCUACUGGUGCACCAAAAACUACUGAUGAACCCACUACGACCAUCACUCGUGUGUCGACAACAAGUGGUGAACCCCCUACAUCCAUCACUGGUGUGUCGACAACAACGUUUACAACUGUACCCAUUACAAACGUAACUGGUGCAUUGACAACAACUGGUGAACUUACUUCAACUGUCAUUGGUGUGUCGUCAACAAGUUAUGCAUCAACAAUUACUGUUACUGCAGCACCCACAACAACCGUGUCGACAACAACUGGUGAACCCACUACAACCGUGUCGACAACAACUGUUGAACCCACUGCAACCGUUACUGGUGCAUUGACAACAACUGGUGAACCCAGAACAACCAUUACUGGUGUGUCGGCAACAACUGGUGAACCCACUGCAACCAUCACCGGUGUGUUGACAACAACGGUUACAGCUGUACCCAUUACAAACAUAACAGGUGCAUUGACAACAACUGGAGAACUCACUUCAACCGUCACUGGGGUAUUGACAAGAACUGGUGAACCCAGAACAACCGUCACUGUGGUGUCGACAACAAGUGAUGCAUCAACAACUACAUUUACUGCAGCACCCACUACAACCGUCAUGGGUGUGUUGACGACAACUGGUGAACCCACUACAACCGUCGAUGGUGUGUCGACAACAACUGAUGAACCAAUUACAACUAUCAGUGGUGUGUUGAUAACAAAGUUUACAGCUGCACCCAUUACAAACGUCACUGGAGCAUCAACAACUGGUGAACUUACUUCAACUGUCAUUGGUGUGUCAACAACAAGUGAAGCAUCAACAACCACUGUUACUGCAGCACUAACUACAACUGUCACUGGUGUGUCAACAACAACUGGUGAACCCACUGCAAACAUCACCGGUGUGUUGACAACAACGGUUACAGCAGUACCCAUUACAACUGUCACGGGUUUGUCGACAACAACUGGUGAACCCACUACAACCAUCACUGGUGUGUCGACAACAACUGGUGAACCCACUGCAACCCUCACCGGUGCAUCAACAACUAAUACUACAGCUGCACCCAUUACAACUCUCACUGAUGCAUCAACAACAAUGGUUACAGCUGUAUCCAUUUUAACCGUAACUGGUGCUUUGACAACAACGGUUAGAGCCGCAGCCACUACAGCCGUCACUGGUGUGUCGACACCAAGUGAUGCACCAACAGCUACUGUUACUGCAGCACCCACUACAACCGUCAUGGGUGUGUUGACGACAACUGGUGAACCCACUACAACAUUAACUGGUUCAUCGACAACUACUAGUGAACCCACGACAGCCGUUACUGGUCCAUUGACAACAUCUGGUGAACCCACUACCACAAUCACUGGUGUGUCGACAACAAUGGUUACAGCUGUACCCAUUACAACCGUAACUGGUGCAUUGACAAGAGCGAUUACAGUGGCUCCAAAUACAACCAUCACUGUUGUGCCGUCAACUACUGAUGAACCCAAUUCAACUGUCACUGGUGGGUUGACAACAACUGGUGAACCCACUACAACCGUCACUGGUGCAUCGACAACAACGGUUACAGCUGUACCCAUCACAUCAAUAGGUGGUGCAUUGACAACUGGAGAACUCCCUUCAACCGUCACUGCUGCUCUUGCAACAAGUACUGUUCCUCCUACAACUUCUGUUACAACCCCUGUGGCUGGUACUACCACCACAACAACUGGAGAACCUGUUACUGUUCCGGCUACCGUUCCUACAACUAGGCCCACAACUACAACCACUACAUACGUGGCCCCCACAACUACAGUGUCAAGGACAACAUCACCACUGUCAACAACUACCAGCACAGCUCCAACUACCACAACAACCAACGCACCAACCACUACUACAACACCUACUACUACUACUAGUACAACCACUACUACAACACCUACUACUACUAGUACAACAACAACUACAACUAAAACAACAACUGCACAUCUCCAACCUGCUCCACUGGUGGUUUUCGUCAUACAACAAGUGUUUGUAGAAGCUUUAAAUGACCCUCAAAGUCCACAAUUCCAAGAACUUGCAGUAACUAUUACUGCAGUGUUUGAUGUGAUCUACAAAGCAAAAUAUGGGAUCCUUUUCAUCCGGACAAUUGUUAUUGGAUUCACACCUAUUUUCCGUUCUCGUAUGGAUGCAGAAACACAGGCGGAGGUCCAGCUAGUGUUCAGUGAGACCUCCACUCAAUCUGUCCCUGAGGUUACUGACAUUAGCAAUACACUGAAAGAGGCUGUGACCAAUCCAAACAUUACCUUUGGCAACCUCUCUGUGGAUGUUACCACCAUCAUUGUUAAAGUGCCCACCACAAAUGCCAACUCAACUGCAACGGUAACUCCUGUCAUCACUACUUCCAUCAUCACAACUACAACCACUGAAACUACCGCUGUGGCACUCACUAAGGUGACUGUGGUGUUCAGGUCCAGAGGAGAGACAUUUACCUCUGAUCUAUCAAACCCAUCAUCUCAGGCCUUUCAAAGCCGAGCAUUACUGAUUAAAACUCAGGUUGAACCUUUCUAUCGAUCGGCUUUCACCUCUUUCAACAGUUUGACUGUGACAGAAUUCAGCUCUGGAUCCAUCAUUGAUACUAUGAAUUUAGCAUUCAGCUCCUCCUCCGUCCCAAAUUCCAAGGAGAUUGGCACUGUUUUGAUAAAUGCUGCGCAAAACAUCACAGCUUUCAACAUUGACCCCUCCUCAGUGACAGUCAACGGCACAGCUGUGACCUCAAGUGGAGUAAGCAGCAAGACCAGUCUCUUCACAGCAUUCUUUCUGGUGGUUCUGUCUCUGCUACUGUCAAGCCAGCAUUAGUCUCAGUGGUAACGCCCACUUGGUAGUCAUAUUUUCACUUUGAGAACUUCCCACACAUUCCAACCCCUACAUAAAUUCCACCCAUGAUUUGACUAGUCUCCAAAAUGAAAUGAAGUCUUGUAAGCUGACAUAAGAUACAGUCUAUGUGGCAGUUGAACACAAUGAUGUGAUAUAAUUACUGCCUAUUCAAUCAAAAUGUGUAAGUGCAUGGGUUUCCAUCAUAAGUCAAUGUUAUUUCCAUGCAAUGACAAAGCAUGUUUGAUUUAAUAUGCACUUAUUUUUGAUUCACUCUGUUGCUGAUAUGAACUAAAACAUUGAUUCACUCUUGCUGAUAUGAACUAAAACGUUGAUUUACUCUCUUGCUGAUAUGAACUAAAACGUUGAUUCACUCUUUUGCUGAUAUGAACUAAAACAUUUAAUCACUCUGUUGCUGAUAUGAACUAAAACAUUUAAUCACUCUGUUGCUGAUAUGAACUAAAACAUUGAUUUACUCUCUUGCUGAUAUGAACUAAAACGUUGAUUCACUCUUUUGCUGAUAUGAACUAAAACAUUUAAUCACUCUUUUGCUGAUAUGAACUAAAACAUUGAUUCACUCUUGCUGAUAUGAACUAAAACGUUGAUUUACUCUCUUGCUGAUAUGAACAAAAACAUUUAGUCACUCUGUUGCUGAUAUAAACUAAUGAGAGCAAUAUUAUAUUUCAUAUUUUGACUUAACCAGUGAAACCUGGAUAACUGAUUUAAAUAAGGCCCUUUGGAGCAAAAUGUUCAAAGAUUUAAACAAUUAUGAAUGUAGUCUUCAUCAUGUAUCUGUUAUACCAUAUAAUGCAAUUCUGUUAUCAAUUGUCCUGAUAUUGUGCCAGUGUAAGGUUGUCUGCUUUUUCUGGAGGUACACAAUCUUUAAUACAUGUCUUUCUCUCGUGAAGAUUCAGGCCAUUGUAUUGUUUACUAUUUGUUGACUAAAUGAGUGGAUUGGAUGACAAGGUAAAGUAUGGCUCCAAUUGUGAUGUUUAUCUGACUAUCUGGCUAUACAAUACUGGAACAACAAGACUACACUAGAUCAGUCCAACACAUCCACGUGUUACACAGUGAGGGAGUGUUGUGCCCCACUGGUGUAGACAGCAGUUAGUUUGUUGGUACAAUAUUUGCUCUCCCAGAGAUCGAGCUUUGAUUGGAUCUCACAUGCGAGAUAUUUGCAUGCAAAAUGCUCCUCACUUCCUAAUCAGUUCGCCUCGCCCCAACUAGAUAUAGACAAACAGGUAGCUAGUUCAUGAUUCAUUCAAUUUGAAAAGUGGAUACCAGCGUAGCAUGCCACUUUGAAGUCGCAGCCCCUUCAUUAUCCGCUACAAGACCAUGGUGCUUGCCUACGGAGCUGUGAAGGGAACGGCACCUCCAUACCUUCAGGCUCUGAUCAGGCCCUACACCCAAACAAGGGCACUGCGUUCAUCCACCUCUGGCCUGCUGGCCCCCCUACCUCUGAGGAAGCACAGUUCCCGCUCAGCCCAGUCAAAACUGUUCGCUGCUCUGGCACCCCAAUGGUGGAACAAGCUCCCUCACGACGCCAGGACAGCGGAGUCAAUCACCACCUUCCGGAGACACCUGAAACCCCACCUCUUUAAGGAAUACCUAGGAUAGGAUAAAGUAAUCCUUCUAAACCCCCCCCCUUAAAAGAUUUAGAUGCACUAUUGUAAAGUGGUUGUUCCACUGGAUAUCAUAAGGUGAAUGCACCAAUUUGUAAGUCGCUCUGGAUAAGAGCGUCUGCUAAAUGACAUAAAUGUAAAUGUGAUUAUCAAUGCAACGUGCCGAAAACAUCAAAGAGCCUUCCCAGACUCUGGAGUAAAACAGAUGUGUAUCUUUCGCCAGACAAACACUAGAUGCCAUUCCACAAUAAUGGCUCAGAUUAACCGAUGACUGUAGAUGUAAAGAGUAUGAUAUCUCUGAAAAACUAAACUCGUCAAGAGUGUUAUGACAGGAAACAUCUUGUCUGUCAUUUCCUUGUAUUUAAUAGGAUUCUACUGUGUGUGUGUGUGUGUGUGUGUGUGUGUGUGUGUGUGUGUGUUAUUAGGUACUGAACCUGUUAUCAUAUAAUGUGUCCAUAGUAUUUAAACUACUGUUCAAAAGAGGUCACUUAGAAAUGUAAUGGUUUUUCAAAGAAAAGCAAUUUUUUCGUCCAUUAAAAUAACAUCAAAUUGAUCAGAAAUACAGUGUAGACAUUGUUAUUGUUGUAAAUAACUAUUGUAGCUGGAAACGGCAGAUUUUUUAUGGAAUAUCUACAUAGGCGUACAGAGGCCCAAUAUCAGCA